rnacentral:tRNA from 1 species
GCCGGGGUGGCGAAAUUGGUAUACGCACUAGACUCAAAAUCUAGCGGGAGCAAUCCCAUGUCGGUUCGACUCCGACCCUCGGCA